CAACUUCCACCUGGCUUACCUCCNUCAGUUAUGCGUCAUGACUUGUAUCGUCUUGAGCGUAUUGUGGGUUUCCUGUGUUGCAUACCUUUCUAAUGGUAUCGUGYUGAUUGAUCGAAGUCCCUUUUCAUCUUGUGUUGCUUUUUGUGACGCAUGAUGAACAUCGAGGCGGUCUCUAUGUUCCACCACGUUGAUGCUACUGUUUCAAUGUUGUGGCCCAUUGAGCGUUGCUUGGUUUCGUGGAUACAGAACAUGAUUUGGGCAUAGGGUUACUUGUGACUCUUGUUCUGUCCUUUAUCAGUGUUCUUUAUAACGACGGUUCAUGCGCGCCUAGGCUCGUACCUGCGCGAUGUUCUUUGUCGAAGAGGAAUGCUACCUGGUUGAUCCUGCCAGUAGUCAUAUGCUUGUCUCAAAGAUUAAGCCAUGCAUGUGUAAGU
rnacentral:misc_RNA from 1 species